UACGUAGGGUGCGAGCGUUAAUCGGAAUUACUGGGCGUAAAGCGUGCGCAGGCGGUUUGUUAAGACAGAUGUGAAAUCCCCGGGCUUAACCUGGGAACUGCAUUUGUGACUGGCAAGCUAGAGUAUGGCAGAGGGGGGUAGAAUUCCACGUGUAGCAGUGAAAUGCGUAGAGAUGUGGAGGAAUACCGAUGGCGAAGGCAGCCCCCUGGGCCCAAUACUGACGCUCAUGCACGAAAGCGUGGGGAGCAAACAGG
rnacentral:rRNA from 1 species